rnacentral:rRNA from 1 species
GUGCCAGCAGCCGCGGUAAUACGGAGGGUGCGAGCGUUAAUCGGAAUUACUGGGCGUAAAGGGCGCGUAGGCGGUCGCGCAAGUCGGGUGUGAAAGCCCCGGGCUCAACCUGGGAAUUGCAUUCGAUACUGCGUAACUAGAGUCUGGUAGAGGGAAGCGGAAUUCCGCAUGUAGCGGUGAAAUGCGUAGAUAUGCGGAGGAACACCAGUGGCGAAGGCGGCUUCCUGGACCAAGACUGACGCUGAGGCGCGAAAGCGUGGGGAGCAAACAGGAUUAGAUACCCUGGUAGUCCACGCCCUAAACGAUGAGGACUAGACGUUGGGGGGAUAAAACCCCUUAGUGUCGCAGCUAACGCGUGAAGUCCUCCGCCUGGGGGGUACGGCCGCAAGGUUGAAACUUAAAUGAAUUGACGG